rnacentral:rRNA from 1 species
CAGUAGCCACGGUAAUACGUAGGGUGCAAGCGUUAAUCGGAAUUACUGGGCGUAAAGCGUGCGCAGGCGGUUAUAUAAGACAGAUGUGAAAUCCCCGGGCUCAACCUGGGAACUGCAUUUGUGACUGUAUAGCUAGAGUACGGCAGAGGGGGAUGGAAUUCCGCGUGUAGCAGUGAAAUGCGUAGAUAUGCGGAGGAACACCGAUGGCGAAGGCAAUCCCCUGGGCCUGUACUGACGCUCAUGCACGAAAGCGUGGGGAGCAAACAGGAUUAGAUACCCCGGUAGUCCCUGUCUCUUAUAC